GUAUUGCAUUGCGUUAAACGCGGUGUGCAUUCCAUAAGACUUCACUACAGUGUGUGUGUAAAAACAUAGAACUACAGGAGGGAGGCGGCACGUCCCCCCAGACCAUAGAACUACGGAGGGUGCACAGGUGUAAGUGGAUGUGUGAACAGAGCGUGCACAUGCCCCCAUUUGAGGACCAGCAACAGCUCAUGUCGACAACUCAGUAAUGAUCCUUCCGCAGGUUCACCUACGGAAA
rnacentral:misc_RNA from 1 species